rnacentral:rRNA from 1 species
ACGGGAGGCAGCAGUGGGGAAUAUUGCACAAUGGGCGCAAGCCUGAUGCAGCGACGCCGCGUGAGCGAAGAAGUAUUUCGGUAUGUAAAGCUCUAUCAGCAGGGAAGAAAAUGACGGUACCUGACUAAGAAGCCCCGGCUAACUACGUGCCAGCAGCCGCGGUAAUACGUAGGGGGCAAGCGUUAUCCGGAUUUACUGGGUGUAAAGGGAGCGUAGACGGCGCUGCAAGUCAGAUGUGAAAGGCUGGGGCUUAACCCCGGGACUGCAUUUGAAACUGCAGUGCUCGAGUGCCGGAGAGGUAAGCGGAAUUCCUAGUGUAGCGGUGAAAUGCGUAGAUAUUAGGAGGAACACCAGUGGCGAAGGCGGCUUUCUGGACAGUAACUGACGCUGAGGCGCGAAAGUGUGGGGAGCAAACAGGAUUAGAUACCCUGGUA